rnacentral:rRNA from 1 species
AACGAACGCUGGCGGCAUGCCUAACACAUGCAAGUCGAACGAGACCUUCGGGUCUAGUGGCGCACGGGUGCGUAACGCGUGGGAACCUGCCCUUAGGUUCGGAAUAACUCCCCGAAAGGGGUGCUAAUACCGGAUAAUGUCUUCGGACCAAAGAUUUAUCGCCUUUGGAUGGGCCCGCGUUGGAUUAGCUAGUUGGUAGGGUAAAAGCCUACCAAGGCGACGAUCCAUAGCUGGUCUGAGAGGAUGAUCAGCCACACUGGGACUGAGACACGGCCCAGACUCCUACGGGAGGCAGCAGUGGGGAAUAUUGGACAAUGGGGGAAAGCCUGAUCCAGCAAUGCCGCGUGAGUGAUGAAGGCCUUAGGGUUGUAAAGCUCUUUUACCCGGGAUGAUAAUGACAGUACCGGGAGAAUAAGCUCCGGCUAACUCCGUG